rnacentral:rRNA from 1 species
UGGCGACCGGCGCACGGGUGAGUAACGCGUAUGCAACCUACCCGCAACAGAAGGAUAAUCCGGCGAAAGUCGGUCUAAUACUUCAUAAUACAGGGACACCGCAUGGUGAUAUUUGUUAAAGAUUAAUUGGUUGCGGAUGGGCAUGCGUGCCAUUAGGUAGUUGGUGAGGUAACGGCUCACCAAGCCGACGAUGGUUAGGGGUUCUGAGAGGAAAAUCCCCCACACUGGUACUGAGACACGGACCAGACUCC